UCUCUACUGGAAUAAAGGAUGGGGUGGGAGUGAACAGACCUACUACUUAUUGUGGUUAUAGGUAGUCCUCACUUAACAACCACAAUUAGGACCAGAAUUUCAGUUGCUAAGUGAAGCACUCAUUAAGCUAAUUUGACCUGAUUUUACAGCCUUUUUUGCGGCGGUCAUUAAGCAAAUCACCAUGGUCAUUAAGUGAGCCACAUGGUUGUUAAGUGAAUCACACGGUUCCCCAUUGAUUUUGCUUGCCAGGAGCCAGCUGGGAAGGCUGAAAAUGGCAAUCACAUGACUGCAGGAUGCUGUGACAGUCGUAAAUGUGAACUGGUUACCAAGCACCCAAAUCGUGAUCAUGUGACUGUGGGGUUGCUGUGAUGGUCAUAAGUGCGAGGACUGGCUGCAAAUCAUUUUUCCAGUACUAAGGAGGUAUAAGAGGCAAAGCUGAUAGCUGAAGAGAUGGAUCCCUUUCUCCCGACAGGCCAGCCUACAGUUGCUCAAAAUAAGCUGGUUGAAUAUAUAUCAUGGUGCUACUGCUGUUGCCAAGCAACCACUCUGUGCAAUUGCAUGAAUGAAGAAAUAAAUUUAUGGGUCAAGCAAUAGGA